UACGUAGGGGGCUAGCGUUGUCCGGAAUCAUUGGGCGUAAAGCGCGCGUAGGCGGCCCGGUAAGUCCGCUGUAAAAGUCCAGGGCUCAACCCUGGAACGCCGGUGGAUACUGUCGGGCUAGAGUCCGGAAGAGGCGAGUGGAAUUCCUGGUGUAGCGGUGGAAUGCGCAGAUAUCAGGAGGAACACCUAUAGCGAAGGCAGCUUGCUGGGACGUUACUGACGCUAAGGCGCGAAAGCGUGGGGAGCGAACAGG
rnacentral:rRNA from 1 species